UUCGCAAUGCCCGAAAGGGUGACGAAGCGACGCCGCGUGCGGGAAGAAGGCCUUCGGGUUGUAAACCGCUGUCGGGAGUUAAGAAAUGCAAGGAUAUUAAUAGUGUCUUUGCUUGACUAAGGCUCCGGAGGAAGCCACGGCUAACUCUGUGCCAGCAGCCGCGGUAAUACAGAGGCGGCAAGCGUUGUUCGGAAUUAUUGGGCGUAAAGAGCACGUAGGCGGCUAUGUAAGUCGGUUGUGAAAGCCUUCCGCUCAACGGGAGAACAGCAUCCGAUACUGCGUGGCUUGAGUGCGGGAGGGGAGAGUGGAACUUCUGGUGGAGCGGUGAAAUGCGUAGAUAUCAGAAGGAACGUCGGCGGCGAAAGCGACUCUCUGGCCUAUUACUGACACUGAGGUGCGAAAGUUAGGGGAGCAAACGGGAUUAGAUACCCCGGUAGUCCUAACCGUAAACGAUGGGCACUAAGUAGAGGGGUUUU
rnacentral:rRNA from 1 species